GGGUAUUUAAAGGUCAGCGCUGCUCUUAACUCUCCAUUAAAACCUCCAUAAGGCAAUAAUGCAUUCCAGAUAGCAAUUACAGUGCUUCAGAGUAUUCACUUUGUGAAUCUGUCAUGUGGUGCAUCCCAUAGGGCUGCUCUGUGUGUGCCCUGCUUGGUACCACAGCACACUGUCUAUUCUGUACUGGAACAGUGUCAGCAAACCCCUUGUUUCUGGACACAGCUGUGCCAUGGAAAAAAUAGACAGCAUCCUAUUGCCUCAUGAGGCACUUCGGGUCAGGAUCCUGUAAGGAGUGGUGCUCUGUGGUCUCUGUAAGAUCACCCCUGCUUUAGCCUGCUUCUUUCUUACCUUCUCCAUUGAGUGAUGGCUUUCCAUAGCAAACUCCAAGUGAAGGAACGCCAUCCUUCUCUAUUAGCCAGAUGUGAUAUGGAGAUACCGGUGACGUGGAGAAGUCGUGCUGUUGGCAGCGUGAGAUGGCAGGAGGAGAACUGUGGGCUAGGACAAGGAACGGAGUUGGAGCACUCAGCCCUGCAUCUCCUGUGCCCACCCACACUCUCAGGCAGAAGGCACAAAGAGGAGCUGUUCAGAAGAAGAACAAAACAAAGCCAACCGAGUCCACAGGUAAGCUGCCUGAUUCAUCAUUGAAAUCGUUUCUGGUGUACACAUGCUACGUGAGGAGGGAAAAACAGUGUGUAAGAAAAUCAUCCAGGAGAUGCAUUUUGGAGAGCAGACUCCCUCAGAGGUUCCUAAGCUGUUUUCGCUCCAGAAGCAGGGUGAGAAAGUGUUCAGUGUCCAGAGGGCUCUGUGAUGCCCAGGCACCACGUUUGCUCUGCCAGCAGUGGGUAGGAGGAGCACGUACAUAAGCCAUGUCACUACUGCUGCUGCAAACAUCAGGCUUGCUCUCUCAUUUACUCUCUUCUGUUUGAGUGGAAAAUGAAGAUAACGUUGAUAAAAGCAAGCCUGGCAUUAGCACUGAUACCUUACGUAAGUGCUACCUCUCUUUUGUAAUCUGUUUGCUCUGUUACAUAAAUUUGUUUUGCUCCUUUAUUCCCACUGACCAACAAAAAAUGAUGCUUUUCCUUCAAAUGGGAAAUUAGUUGUAUAGUAAAAAUAUUUACUGAGGCAUAGAGGUGCUGAUCCAUUUCCUGUUUGAGUCAAUAGAUAGCCUGUUAUUGAUUUCAGUGUUUUUUUGAGUCAGACUCCAUGUUUUGUCUAUUUUUCGGUCGGUGAAUUUGCUGCUUAUGGGUGCUUUAUAAGGGAUAAUGGUCACCACGUCUGCGUCUUCUUGAGAGGAAUAGGAGCAUAACAGAGAGUAAAAGUGAUCAUUUCAUAAGCUGAUAAUGUGUCAUUUUGAUGGGAUGAGAGGGAAUGGCCUCAGGUUGCACCAGGGGAGGUUCAGGUUGGAUGUUAGGGAAAAUUUCUUUGCCAAAGGAGUGGUGAUGCAGUGGCACAGCUGCCCAGGGAGGUGGUGGGGUCACCGUUCCUGGAGGUGUUCAAGCAAUGUGUAGAUGUGGCACUGAGAGACAUGGUGCAGUGAGCAAUGUUGGUGGUGGGUGAACGAUCAGACUGGAUGAUCUUAGAGGUCUUUUCCAACCUGCAUGAAUCUAUGACUAGAAUACAAAGCUGUGGGCUAUGUUUGGUAGGUAACAUCACUUUAUCUUGAAGGUCUACCUGUAUGAUGGCUGAGCGUCUCUUGGCAUUUUUCAUCCGUCGUGUAAUAGCUGCCAAUUUCUUUAAAACCUGAUGCAACGUGACAUUUAUGUCACAUCUGAUCUGCUUACAUUGUUUUAUGUCGUGUCAACUGAUGUGAUGUAACCAGACAUAGCCUAAUAGCCAGUGAUGUGCAAAACAGGCAACUUUUUUUCUUGUUGUGCUUGGACCAGGGUAAGACAUCACAAAAGGCAACAUAAUCUUUGAUUGCAUGGAUGUGACAUUGUCACGUUAUCGGGGAAGAGUGACUGCAGGACUAUGUGUGACCCCAUCAUAGUACCCAUCUGAACAGGCAGCUCAGCUUCAUCCUCAGAAAUGACAACGAAGCACGUGAAAUCUCCUUAAUGGUGUUGGUGAUUCCCUGUUCUCAGGGGUCAGCUUCAGUUGUUACCAAGGUGUUGUGGAUGAGUUCAGCGAAUGCUUUAUAGUUGGCUGUCUGCCUGAGUGAACGAGUGUGGAAAAAGGGAAAGUGUGCUAAGAGACCACAUUGCUGAACAAUGGAGCUGCAGCAGAAAUCUGCAGAGAGAUAGAGGCACGAGGUCCUGCUGGUGUUUCUGACCCCAGCAAGAGUCAUGCAUGCUUGGGCUCCUUUGAGCACAGUGCAAUUUGGAGGUGCUGUGCUUAAGUUUCUCUGUGUGCAAUCCACAUCCAUGCCUUUGGGGGGACAAAGUGCACCCCACCUGUUGAGGGGCAGCGCUGUGUGUGGGCAUGUCAUGGCAUUAGGAGCCCUCACUAGGUGAGAAUGCAAAGGUGAUGUGUUCUGUUCAGUUGCUUUUUCAAAGUUGACUCACAGUGUGUCUGAAUGCCCAAACUCACAAGCACAGUAUUUAUUGUAUCCAGUUGCAUUUCUGUUGGGCUUUUCCUCCUUUACGUGAUGGGUUCCGAGCAGCCAACUGACACAUGUUACCUGAAUGGUGACAAACACUGUAAAUAUUCCACUUUCUGCAAGAUGAAAUACAGUUGGUAGAAAAAAAAUCUUUAAGCAGGCUCUAUAGGUGCAGCGUUGAGUGAACUAUUUAUGGCUGUAUGAUAAAUAAAGCUAGGAAAGAUAUUUGUCAGAAAGCAGUGGGCCAGCUAAGUUAUAUUUGGUUUGAAAAGGCACUUAGGAACACUCAAAGAAAAUCAGCAUAGGUGAGGAAGGAGGAGUGGCUGCUGCUUACCCAAGUUAACUCUCAGCCUGGCUGCAGGCAAAACUCACUGCUAAAUGUGGAGGGGACCAGGACUAGAGAAGCUGCCAUCAGUUGCAGCAUCCAAAGCCAAGCCAGGAGACUGGCACAUCUGCUCCUUUGCUCAGCAUUGUUAUCCUAAAUUGAUUGCAUCGAAGCGCAUCUGCAGCGCUGUCACCAGCACUCUGCUGGACAGCUUCAUCUGCUGAGCAGCUGGCUUUCCUUCAUGAGACAUGACAAUAUUUUAUUAGACCAGCAAAUGGUACUUGAUAAAACGAGUCUUAGCAGUGUUUUAAGAAAAUAAAAUAAGCUAAAAGCAUCAACCAUGCUGGGAAUUUCGUGCACAGGCGAUACAGGGCAGUGUGUCCACAUGGGGCUUGCCUCCCUUCUCUUGUGCCUCUGUGCAUCUUGGUCAGUACAUAGAUUUCCUACAGUUGAUGCCAUCCCCCUCCCAAAAGCUGCCAAAAGCAGAGGAGGGGCAAAUAUUUUCUUCUUUCUCCCCUGGUCUGAGCUGCACACACAUCUAUACACCCAAAGUCAGCAAGAGGGAAAUCAACUGUAUUAGCAGUGCUGAUCCGAUUAGGCUGGCAGCAGAGCACAGACAAACACAAGCCCUUCCCACCAGCCAUUAUGAUGUCAGGAAAAUCUCUGUGACACUGCAAAGGUCCUUUGUAUUUCGGUUAGUUGCUUUCCCAGAACAAGCAAUGUUUCAUUUUAAUGUACUGCUCAUUACUUUUUUUUCUAUUAUUUUGAAAGUUAUAGGAGUUGUGAUAGCAUUUAAAUGGCAAGAGGUGGCUGAACUGCACCAGCAGCAACCUGCGAGCCCUGCUCAGCCCCUGGCAUUUUGGGAGGACCCUCAUUAUCCACACUGCUCAGCUCUUCCCAACAAGAUCACUUCUGUAGCUUCCUCCCAGGGACUUAUUUUCUUCCCUGGCACUAUACUGUGCUUUCUGUAACUCCAGCAACCCUCGUGUGCAGAUGCAGUUUGAUCCGGGCAAGGAUUGUAGUGCGCUAUGAAACAAAUCGGUUUGUUCUGAUUCCUCCUUACUGAGAAAAGGCUCAGAGCUCCGAGGUGGCUGCUGAGCAGUGUGUGGGGCACAGCCAGCACAGGGCUUGGAAAUUACAAACAGCCAUCAGAUAAGUAUGCUCAGUAAACUGCUUUUAACUGCAUUUUGCUAACAGCAGCGAAAGAUUCCGACUACUGUAGAUUUCAGCUUUCUUGGCCAUUUGCAGACGUACAAAUAUCUCCCUCUGUGAUUUCUCCUUGCAGUACUGAUAGAUGCUAAAGCGGGUAAUGAAGCUAUAAACCUGCACGUCCACUUUGCCUGAUAUCUAUGGCUAGUUACUUACGGGGACGAAAUCCACUCCUACAGAGAGUGGUACGAAGACACCAUUUCCCAACAAGAUAACGUAUGGUGAGGCAGACAAAAGCUUUGAAAGCUCCCAAAAAAGAGCAGCAAUUCGGUCAGGCCUCCCCACGUUCCUGUUCGCUGCUUCUUUAUGUAAUGUCUUUGAUAUGUGAACACUGGUAAGUGCUGGUUCUCCAGUUCCAUGUGUUACACACACAAGGGAGAAGAUCUAAACAGCACCUGCAGUGCCAAGAGAGCUUGCUGCUCAAUGGUUGUGCUCAAAAUAUUGUGUUAACCACAGAGAAUAAAUAGUGGAUAGCAGUUGCCCCUUCUGAUCGUUGUUGGAACAGUGCCUUUUCUGUGUUCAACACCCUGCCAAAAUAUUGCAAGGAAAAGAAUUAUGCUCUGCAGUCAUCCAUUUUCUGAGCUCCGAAGGCCUUGGCACAAUAAUUAAGUUAUUUCUGAUAAUUUUGGUCCGCAGCUCCUUUGCACACAGUGCAACAGCAAUGAAUCAUAGAAUCGUGAAGGCUGGAAAAGGCCACUAAGAUCACAGAGUCCAACUAUCAACCCCUCUACCCCAUGCCCAUAACCUCAGUGCCACAAAGGAGCGAUGGCAGAUCAAACAUGGGACUGAAUGCCAUAAAACCCCUGUGUAUUUGUAGGGAGAGCCCACUGCCAGAUCCUCCUCACCAGAAGGGUUUCUGGGAUCAGUGACAUCAUCAUUCCCAACCUCUUCUUUAAAUUUCAUCCUUGGAUCCAUCCACUGAGCCCUGGGAUUAAUCCAAGAGCUGAAUCCUUGAAUGCGUCACUGUUGAGGAUGGGGCUGGGGCCUCCCAAGACUCAGAGCAAUUAAAACUCUUCAGAUUUCACUUCAGAUUCAGUGAUGUAUUUUUAUAUGCUGUAAGAUGCUGGGCAUAAUAGAUGAGAAAUGUUGGAGGGAGGUGAAAAGAAAGGAGCUGUUGGAAAAAUUCUUUAUUAAUGUUUUAGUGAGAGUUGAGUGAAAAGAGCCAUAUUCUGCAUGGAUUGAGAGGUGUCAAAGCCCAGUACCUGGGGCACUGUUUGAAAAGAAAGACCAAGGUGGUAAACACCCCUUGUGCUGCCCCAGAAGCCUGAAGAGUGAGUUCAAACCAACCUCACAUUCCUGUUCUCGGCAGGUUGUGGCUCACGGAUGUGUUGUUGGAGGGAGUUUCUGCAGCCUCCGCUAUCAGUGUGCAGCUCCAACGCUGGGCACAAUUAUGAGUCUAUCGUUUCAAAUUACCUUCUUCCAAGCACCCAUCUAUGAAACCAGAGCCACAUCUCAGACUCCUGAGCCUAUAAAUUCUUCCAUUGUCAAUGUUUGUUUUUAGAUUGAAGACAAGUGUAGUGUUUGGGGUAAUGAAAAAGAUAUAUCUCUGAAUCUGUAAGUCCCUUACGUUGCUUUGAAAUCCUGCUUGCAUGCAACGCGUGCCUUCGAAAUGCUCGUGCUGCAUCUGUUCAUUGUAAUAAGUUGUGUAAAAAUAUUCCCCAUUAUUUUGCUUUGUGCUGAAGCUGGCAAUAUUAGCUAUUCCACUUGAAUGCUCUGGCUAGAAAACUGUGAAUUUCUUUUCUUCUGUGAUUUUCUCCUCUGUGUUUUUCAUCUCAUCACUGAGAUGGAAAUACUUUACCAGUUAAAUGGAGAAAAGAACAGUUAAGGCAGAUGCUGUUUCAUCAUCUGCUAACACAGAGGUCCUCAGCAUGCAGAAUGGUGGUUUACUGCAACAAAUUAAGUGUACAAACUCUUCAUGUGGAAGAAAUGAUUUCUGAAUUCCCUCUGAAACCCCAUUUCAUCUACAGCAAGAUGAGUUAAUGAAGAAAAUUACGAUUUCAUGUCUGUUAGUUCUGUAGAGAAACUUACUUUGUCUCUCAAAAGCAGUUUUCUAUUCUUUGUUGUUAUUUUAAACUCCUUCAGCCAUGAUUUGGAAACAGUGGCUGUGAUCAUUUCUGUAGCUGAAACUUUCUGUUGUCGUCCUCUUUGCUCAGGCAGAGCGAUGCCUGUUAUUCAGGAAGCACCUUAAUCUCUACAGGGUAGAAUCAUAGAACCAUAGAAUAUCCCGAGCUGGAAGGGACCCAUGAGGAUCAUUGAGUCCAGCUCCUGGCCCCACACAGGACCAUCCAAAAUGGCAGUGGGUAAUGGGACCAUUGGUUCUUUAUCCAGGUUGGAGGCAAGAAGCAACAGGAUGAGAGGAAUGGCCUCAAGUGCCAGCAUAGGUUCAGGUUGGAUACUGGGGAAAACUUCUCAGGAAGAGUGAUGGUGUACUGGCACGGGGCUGCCCAGGGAGUGGUGGUGGGAUCACCAUCCCUGGAGGUGCUCCAGAACCAUGGAGAUGUGGCACUGAGGGACGUGGUGAUGGGCAUGGUGGGGUGGGCUGAGGUUGGACUUGGUGAUCUUGAAGGUCUUUUCCAGCCUUAAUGAUUCUAUGACAAACACAGCCUAUGAUUUGCUCAGUCCAUCCUGCAUUGUGUCAUGACUUGAUGGAGUCUUCCAUUUCAGGGCGAGUCAUCCACAUCCAUCCCUUUCUGUGCAGCUCAGCACUUGGUCUUUUUGGCUCUUUGGCAAAGCACUGCUGCUGGGAUUUGGUGUGGGAGAGGCAGAGGGUGUCUUCCCUCGUAACGGUGAGGGUGCAUUUCUCUGGGGCUGUAAUGCUUACAGGAAGCGACGGCGCAGAGUUGGUUUGAUUUAUCCUUAAAGGCAGUAGGUACAUCUCAGUGCUGAGCUUUUGUGCUUUCAGCCACAGAUGCAGACAGGGAUUUUAUUGAAAGGAAGAAGAGAGCUGUCAUGAGAAAAUGUAGAUUUAGAUUCAUCUUAAAAAUAGAAAUUUAAUUUUAUUUCUAGAGUUGUGCCUUGGAAGUUUUCUUUUCAGGAGAGCAUUCUGUACUCCAUUUCUGCUAUAUCCUUUCUAGCUGGGAAACAAUUAGAUUGCUAAAUAGAACACUUCUAAGAUUUUUCUUGACCACAACCACAGUUUGAUUUCCUCUCUAUAAUUCAGGCCUUUCUCAAGACCCAAAAUCAUCAUAAACCUUGUUAUGGUGACCCAGCAGUGCACCAAUGUAUGCCAGGAAUGGCUCAUUCCCUUUUCUUGGGCUCGUAAGGCUCAGAAAAAAUGCUUCAAUUCUGGUGCAGAUGAGGGAGAGAGAGUGUCUGCUCUCUUGGUGGUAAAACAAAGUCUUUGAAGAAUACAGCUAUGUCUGGAAAGAAUAGUAACAUUCAAGAAAAAAAGAAAGAAAGAAAAAGAAAUUUCACGAUGUAUUGUACUGUGAAACAGCUUCCUACUGUGUUUUAUGGGAACUUUUCUGAUUAUGUCAGACUUUUUUUAACCUACCUUUUUGCUUACAGGGUCUGAGUUAAUCUGUCAGUGCUCCUCUCCAACAGCAAGAGCACUUAGACAAUUAGUCCACUGCCAAGGGAGAUCUAGGGAUCGCUGUCGUCAGCUCCGAUGACAGUGCUAUAUUAAGGAUGCUUAAGGAAUACGAAAUCAAUGAGACAGUGGUUUGAAAUGACCCAAGGACUUUCCAGCCCAGUGAUUUAAUAUUGCAGUGAAUAAAAAAAUCUUAGUAAACAGUAGUGGUCUAGAACAGAAUCUGCCUGAAGGAAUUUUCCAAUAUUACUUUUAUUUGCUUGUCAUAAUACAUUUCAGCUGCGUUUUCCUUCUUCUGUUCCGUAUAUUAUAUAAAGGAUGAAGGAAAGUUUCCUAUUCGGUCUGAGUUUUUCACGAGCCUUUUCUCCUCACUAGUUAACCAGAAAGACAUUAAGAUACAAAUAUUUAAUUAACUGACGGAACAAUUUAAGCCAAGUCUGAAAGAGGUUCUUCCAGCCAUAGAUGGGCUGCUGGAGAAGCAACAAGGAGUGCAAACCCCUCACUUUGAGCCAUGUUUAAGUGUUUCUUUCUUCUUCUGUGCAGAAAGAAACCCUUUUGAUCUCACCCUUUUGUAAAGUAAAUCUUUGUCAGGUUAAAUGCAAAGAUCCCUAUCAGAAGGCACUUGGCUUUGACAAGCCUGACAGAGACCUACGUACUCUGCAACACGGUAAUGGCUGGCACUGAAAUGAAAAGAGCUUGGAUAAUGAAUAAAGAAUAUUUUUGUAGCAUGACUCAUAAGUAAUACAAAGACAUCUCUGGCAAUGUCUGUACUAAUUACAGACUAGUUGCUAUGUUGUUACAAUCGUGGAUAUUAAGUGUGUGGGAUGCUGAAGUGUGUGGGCAUCCUGCUAAGCCUGAGCUCAGCUCCCUGCCACUGUAAUCCUGUCUGUCCCAGCUGGAAAGUGGGCAAUGUAUGUAGGUGCCUAAAUACGGGCUGAGGAUGACUAAAUGUGUCUUAAAUUACGUUUUUUGCUGUUUUUCCCUCUUGGUCACAAACUUUUUGAGCUGUCAGAAAAUGUGAAGAAUGUCACGUGCUGUGGAUUGAAGUGCUGAAGGUGAUGCUCCAUGUGACGCUCCCCUCAGUUUUCUGCUCUAUUGCUGACAUUCAGGUGGAUAAACCAGGAGUAUUCUGAGUGAGUGUACUUAAAGAAUCACAGAGUGGCUGAGAUUGGAAGAGACCUUAGGGAUCAUUGACUCCAACCCCUGCCAUGGGCUGAGUGCUCCCCACCAGGUCAGGCUGCCCAGAGCCCCAUCCGUGGCCUUGGGCACCUCCAGGCAUCAAACAUUACUUAAAUAAGGAAAAGCUGUAAUCAGGUUCCAGUGUUCGAGUUCACUUUCCUGGCAAAGUUUUAAAGGAUUAUCAGUGAGAGUCAUACCAUCCACACCCCAAAGCAGCCCCCAGGAAGUAAAUUUUUGCAAAUAUAAUUGCUGUAUUGGUGCACUGCAUGUCAGCUUUGUAUGGGUUGAAUAGCAACUGCCUGUUGUUCUCUGUAGCGUGCAUGCAUUUGACUUUCAACAAGAGAUGAGAACAGACAUACCUUAAAUAUUCACAAGGAAAUGUCAGCACAGAUGAGGCAAUACAGGGGGAGGGAUGGAGGUGGGCUUGGCAUGGAUCAUUUCUGGCCUUGAGGCACGAGUAGCUAUUCUGGUCACAUUAUUCUCAGCAAUAUUAGUCCAGUAAUGCAAUGCAGAACUUGUCUUUAAUGGUAGCCUGUAAAUAAAAGACACGCUUAUUGUUAAAAACACAUUGGCUCGGGAAACUUGGCUGGCAGCAUGCAAUUUUAAGAACUGUCAUGAGACCUGCAUUAAUUAACCACAUGGGGAGAAUUCUCCCCACUGCAAGCCACAGUAAGGUUUGUUUUCAGAGAGUGAGCACCUUCACUGCUGGGGAGAGCGAGAGCCCAGGUGCCUCCCUCUGAGUACUUUGGCAUCUCACAGUUUCAAAGACCCUUACAAUUUCAAAGAUCCCCUCCUGUGCUGUCUCCUGGGGUGCCUACAUGGGGCCAGGCAGUUCUUGCAUUUGAAGGCAGCUUAAUGUACACAAUAUUUUUGCUACUUGCAUUGGUUGAUGGCAGAUACUUGCCUGAACCACUGCUCAGUUAACGUGGUGUAUAUUCUUUCUUGUCUUGACUGCAGGAUUUGAUAUAAUGAUUUCUCUUGCCACAAUCAUAGCGUAUGACUUCACACACAAGGCUUGUUCCAUUACCAUUUGUUUUUGCCAAUGUGCUAGCAAGUCUUCAUUUCCAAUUUAUCUCCCCUUCCUUCUAUACUUCUGCAGAUGCUGCAUUCUACUGACGUGCUAGAGGCUCUUAUAUUCAAGACUUCUUUAUUCUGCUUGGGAAAUCACAUCUUUACCUGUUCCUCUGCAUAUGAGCAUCAACUUUCCCUGAACAUAAAACACACUGUAGUAGUUGUGGUCUGGCUUCUCAUGCUGCCCUUUUCCCACCAUUUGUAGGAAAUUUGUUAAUGACUGAGGGAUAAAGACAUCAAG
ensembl:lncRNA